rfam:Triticum urartu cultivar G1812 contig245450, whole genome shotgun sequence.
UAGAUCGUGAGGAGUUACUGAUGCAUAAUCCGACACUUGAUCCGAGGGUUAGCAUGAGCCACCCGUGUGAUGUCAUCUUUACAUCUGAAUCCAU